AUGAAAGGCACUAUCAUUCACUUGUUUGUGAUUUUUUUAGGGCUCUCUCAUCUUCUAUGCUUCAAAGCAGUUCCAGUUACAAGAAGUGAAAGCCUUAUGCAAAGUGCUCAAGUUCAUCUUGCAUCAAUGAAUGUCAACAACCACAAGGCUACAUUCUUCAAAGAGAGAAACUUGCCACUGGAUGAAUUUACUGUUCUUGAAAGGAUGGAUUUGGAACUCCAUGACUAUCCACCAUCAGGGGCUAAUGGUCGUCACACUCCAAGAGUACCAUAUCCUUAA